UACGCAGGGGGCGAGCGUUGUUCGGAAUUACUGGGCGUAAAGGGCGCGUAGGCGGCCGAUCAAGUCAGAUGUGAAAGUCCUGGGCUUAACCUGGGGACUGCAUUUGAUACUGAUUGGCUUGAAUGCAGGAGAGGAUAGCGGAAUUCCCAGUGUAGAGGUGAAAUUCGUAGAUAUUGGGAAGAACACCGGUGGCGAAGGCGGCUAUCUGGACUGUGAUUGACGCUGAGGCGCGAAAGCGUGGGGAGCAAACAGG
rnacentral:rRNA from 1 species